UCAAGAAACUUCCACAAUGGGCGAAAGCCUGAUGGAGCGACGUCGCGUGAUGGACGAAGUGCUUCGGCACGUAAACAUCUUUUAUGUGGGAUGAAAUUAUUGACAGUACCACAUGAAUAAGGGGCUCCUAACUCUGUGCCAGCAGGAGCGGUAAUACAGAGGCCCCAAGCGUUAUCCGGAAUCACUGGGCGUAAAGGGUGUCGAGGCGGUUGUAUUAGUCGUUCGUAAAAUCUACGAGCUUAACUUGUAGGCGGCGAACGAAACGGUACGACUUGAGGUUUGGAGAGGUGCGUGGAACUCACGGUGUAGGGGUGAAAUCCGUUGAUAUCGUGGGGAACACCAAAGGCGAAGGCAGCGGCACUGGCCAAAAUCUGACGCUCACACACGAAAGCUAGGGUAGCGAAGAGGAUUAGAUACCCGUGUAGUCCCUGAGCGGGCUGGCAAGGCGCAU
rnacentral:rRNA from 1 species